AUUGCACGCUGGCGGCAGGCCUAACACAUGCAAGUCGAGCGGAGCGGCGGACGGGCGAGUAAUGCCUAGGAAUCUGCCUGGCAGUGGGGGCUAACGUCCGGAAACGGGCGCUAAUCUCGUAUCCUACUCGAUGAGCCUAGGUCGGAUUAGCACGUUGGUGGGGUAAAGGCCUACAAAGGCGACGAUGCGUAACUGGUCUGAGAGGCUGAUCAGUCACACUGGAACUGAGACACGGGCCAGACUCCUACGGGAGGCAGCAGUGGGGAAUAUUGGACAAUGGGCGAAAGCCUGAUCCAGCCAUGCCGCGUGUGUGAAGAAGGUCUUCGGAUUGUAAAGCACUUUAAGUUGGGAGGCGUUACCAACAGAAAAAGCACCGGCUAACUUCGUGCCAGCAGCCGCGGUAAUUC
rnacentral:rRNA from 1 species